rnacentral:rRNA from 1 species
CGUAGGUCAGCAUACUACGGUGAAUACGUUCCCGGGCCUUGUACACACCGCCCGUCAAACCAUGAGAGUUGGCAACACCCGAAGUCGGUAGUCUAACCGCAAGGAGGACGCCGCCGAAGGUGGGGUUGAUGAUUAGGGUUAAGUCGUAACAAGGUAGC